CCCUUGCCCCGUCCCUGCACAGAUCCAGGCUGUCUCUUGCGGUGCGCAUGCACCUACCGUAUCGUUAUCAACGUCUCCGAGGCAGAUUGCGUGCGGGAAGAGGCUCCCGCUGAACUCCAGCGCCACGCGCUGCACGUAGCUAACUGACCUCAUGGCACCUCCAAGAGCAGAGGGAGCGGAGAGGCCCAGUAAAUAUUCCCUGAACCCCCGUCGCGACAGCCGCCAGAGCGGAAGGCCACCUAAGGCAGCAAGUUACGUCACUGCCUGAACCUCCAAUCUCUGCCUCUUCCUCCUUUAACCUUACAGAGGAGGCGGGUCUUCCGGGCUUGGAGGCGGGCUUCCCAACUCUGAUGUGAGUGACAGGCCCACGGGCCACUCCUUUUCUCCACAGGGCUGCAGACCGUGGGUAAACCAACCCUGACGGGGGUCGAUCUGUUCCCUUGGCAACAGGGCUCCCAAGGGCUUGACCUAAUAACCUUGACCUUUUUCCUUUGUUUCCCUGGCAAUGAAGAUUCCUAGCCAUCAGACCAUUCCUGAGAAUCUUACUAAUCUUCGUAAUAACUGAUAAUUGCAUGGUUUUGAAAAGUGUUUUUAAAAAACUACCCAUUAGGAGUGAAAACAAUGUAGUGAGUUGCAAUCAGCAUAUAAAAAAUUAAAUACAAUAGUAAUAUACCAAGUGACUCCCAGGUAGUAAGGAUGCAGAGCUGGAAGAAACCUCAGGAAUGCUUUCGAUUUUGCAGAUGAGGACAGAAGCCCAGGACUUGCCAAAGGAACCUCAUGGGAGAGUCUGGAUUAGUUCAGAGACCUCACCUUUCCAUUUAACUUCUGAGUCUUGGUUUUCUUAUCUGUAAAUAGGGUUAUUAAAGUUAUACCUUCUUU
rnacentral:lncRNA from 1 species